rnacentral:lncRNA from 1 species
AAAGAAAAGAAAAGGAAGUCCAACACAGCACAUCACCUUUGAACAUCUACGAUUGAGCAUAACCACCUGUCCAUUGUCUUAGACCAAAUAAAUAAAUAAACCGUGUAUUAAAACGAAAUUCAUAGCAAACCAAAUAGAAAAAGAAAGCGAAAAAGAAAAAGAAAAAGAAAAAGCUUACCUCUCUGUCUGUCUCCCCCACUCAGCGCUUUGACGGCUACCAUUAACGCGUGUCGCUACUGCUUCAGGCAAGGCCCCUUCCAGAUCUGAGCCCUCCCAAGAACUCCACUCAAUCAUUUACUUACAUCUCUCUUUUUUAUU